UACUUCUUUAACCUCCCCCCCCCCCAAAUUAUUUACACUGCACAAAGUUUAUCUAGGUAAUUAGCAAAAGAAAUAAUCAAAUAUGCCAAUUGUACUGAUCUGAUUGGUUUACUUUAUCCCUCAUUUCAAAAUCGUUCUCUCCCUCUUCUCUCUACUCUCUUUUUCUUGAAACCCUAGAUCUUCCGCCGAUUCACCUCUCAUCUCCUCUUCUCUCUACUCUCUUUUUCUUGAAACCCUAGAUCUUCCGCCGAUUCACCUCUCACCUCCAAGCCGGAACGCUCACCCCACCGCACAACUUCACCACUAAAAUGCAUCGAUACCUUUUUCAAACUCGUCACUGCCACCGAAUCUGCAACGAUCUGCAACAAUCACCUCGCCAAACAUCUGAAUUUAAUAGUGAAAAGCAAAAACUCAUCGCACGUGUCUUCCUAGACAAAGCCAUCAUAAAUCAAUGAUUUUUCAAAAGCUCAACUCUGCUGAAGGAAUGUCAUGUACUGAGACACGCAUACUACGAUACUGCUAUCGGUGUUUCCUAACAAAUUCUAGCUCUUUUUUAAGAACACCAAAUUCUUGAAAGUUCCAUAAAUCAAAGGCAUGCCACUGGAAGUGAUCAUUGAGUUCUUCUCCAUUGGAGCAAAACAGGCUGAGGCAGCCAAUCAUAACUGACUGAAGGAUGGAAGCCAUUAGUUUGUGAUGAUGGAUGUAAGCAUAAAAGGAGGUGUAGCUGGUGGAAACAUUCUGAGGAAAAAGAUUAGAGAAGGAACUUCUUAGCUUACUUCCUCCAUACAUGUCGAAUGGAAUUAGAGUCACACCUCCUCCAUACGAUGUCGAUACUACAUGGCUCAAAGCAAAGAUGAUUGGAAAUGUAAGUUCCAUGUCACCUUGAUGAUAAAUAUUCAAGGUUCUGUUUUUCUAAACAAUUUAUAUUCAAGGUUCCUUCCUUUACUAACAUUUGAAAGUAUUAUAUAUUCUCAUUUGAUAAUAUUUCAGGUCAUUCUUUUUUGGAUUAUUCUUUUAUCUUUUUACUUCCUCUACUUGAAAUAGUUGAGAUGAUAUUCAUUGAUGCAGACAAUGGGUUUGUUGUUGUAUGCUUUUUUUAUGAAGAGAUAAAUGUGAAGCCCUUAAAUCUUAAUCUAUUUUAUCCGUGCAUAGUAUUUAUUUAAAUCAUACAGACAAUGGGUUUGUUGUUGUAUGCUUUGUUUAUGAAGAGAUAAAUGUGAAGCCCUUAAAUCUUAAUGUAUUUUAUCCGUGCAUAGUAUUUAUUUGAAUCAUACAAAAUGAUUUUGGCUUUUUCAAUUAAGAAUGAAGUUGAUCCCAUGAGACGAAUUGUAGAGAAAUCAAGAACUGUGAAAGAUGCAUCUGAUAGAACUAAACUACGACAAUUGU